rnacentral:rRNA from 1 species
CCUACGGGGGGCAGCAGUGGGGAAUAUUGGACAAUGGGCGAAAGCCUGAUCCAGCCAUGCCGCGUGUGUGAAGAAGGCCUUCGGGUUGUAAAGCACUUUCAGUGGGGAAGAAAGCCUUGGGGCUAAUACCCUCGAGGAAGGACAUCACCCACAGAAGAAGCACCGGCUAACUCCGGCCCGCAGCCGCGGUAAUACGGAGGGUGCGAGCGUUAAUCGGAAUUACUGGGCGUAAAGCGCGCGUAGGCGGUCUGAUAAGCCGGUUGUGAAAGCCCCGGGCUCAACCUGGGAACGGCAUCCGGAACUGACAGGCUCGAGUGCAGGAGAGGAAGGUGGAAUGCCCGGUGUAGCGGUGAAAUGCGUAGAGAUCUGGAGGAAUACCAGUGGCGAAGGCGGCCUUCUGGACUGACACUGACGCUGAGGUGCGAAAGCGUGGGUAGCAAACAGGAUUAGAUACCCCGGUAGUC